GGCUCAGUAGGACCUGCAGGCGAAAUGCUUGGCUUGAGUAUGGAGUUGUGCGUGGAAUGCUAGCUGAGCGUGAAAUCGUCGAGAUUGGGAGGCACACUUGCGGCAAAGCGUCGCACUGUCCAUAUUCUGUUAUGAGGCGCUGAAAGCUAGAAGAGCAAACAAGAUUGCAUACCAUUGUUAGUCAUAGCAGUACACGAUGGAUGCAUGGUGUGGCCAUUACCCAAUCCGGCUGUACCGCAGAUAACGCGAUAAGCAUACCGCCUAGUGAUUACGGUCUCUAGGAUGAAACUCAAAGGAAUAGACGGGGGCCCGCACAAGCGGUAGAGCAUGUGGUUCAAUUUGACGCAACGCGAAGAACCUUACCUCCAUCGAAGCGCAGUGGAAUCCGGUGGAGACAUCGGCGCCCGCAAGGGUCGCUGCGGAGGUGCUGCAUGGCUGUCGUCAGCUCGUGUCGUGAGAUGUUGGGUUAAGUCCCGCAACGAGAGCAACCAUAAUCUAUAGUUGCCAUCAGGUCAAGCUGGCCACUCUAGCGAACCCGCCCCGGAUAACCGGGACGAAGGUGGGGAUGACGUCAAGUCUUCAUGGCGUUUACGUCCAGGGUUACACACGUGCUACAAUGGCCGGUACAAACCGUCGCAAACCUGUGAGGGGGAGCUAAUCGGAAAAAACCGGCGUCAGUUCGGAUUGGAGUUUGCAACCGGACUCCAUGAAGUUGGAAUGGCUAGUAAUCGUGGAUCAGAACGCUGCGGUGAAUAAGUUCCCGGGCCUUGUACACACCGCCCGUCACAUCACGAAAGUGGACUGGCUAGAAGUGGGCGAGCCAACCGCAAGGGGGCAGCCGCCCACGGUAUAAUUCAUGAUUGGGGUGAAGUCCUAACAAGGUAACC
rnacentral:rRNA from 1 species